rnacentral:rRNA from 1 species
UACAGAGGUCUCAACCGUUGUUCGGAUUCAUUGGGCGUAAAGGGUGCGUAGGCGGCGGGGCAAGUCAGGUGUGAAAUCUCGGGGCUCAACCCCGAAACUGCACUUGAUACUGCCUUGCUCGAGUACUGGAGAGGAGACUGGAAUUCCCAGUGUAGCGGUGAAAUGCGUAGAUAUUGGGAGGAACACCGGUGGCGAAGGCGGCUAUCUGGACCGGUACUGACGCUGAAACGCGAAAGCCAGGGGAGCAAACGGG